rnacentral:rRNA from 1 species
UACGGAGGGGGCAAGCGUUAUUCGGAAUUAUUGGGCGUAAAGGGCGCGUAGGCGGCUCGUUAAGUUGCGGGUGAAAUCCCGGGGCUCAACUCCGGGGCUGCCAGUAAGACUGGCGGGCUAGAGCACGGUAGAGGCAGAUGGAAUUCCCGGUGUAGCGGUGGAAUGCGUAGAGAUCGGGAAGAACACCAGUGGCGAAGGCGAUCUGCUGGGCCGUUGCUGACGCUGAGGCGCGACAGCGUGGGGAGCAAACAGG